rnacentral:rRNA from 1 species
GGACUACAGGGGUAUCUAAUCCUGUUCGCUCCCCACGCUUUCGCUUACUCAGCGUCAGUUACUGCCCAGAGACCCGCCUUCGCCACCGGUGUUCCUCCUGAUAUCUGCGCAUUCCACCGCUACACCAGGAAUUCCAGUCUCCCCUGCAGCACUCCAGUCUGCCCGUAUCGCCCGCACGCUCACAGUUAAGCUGUGAAAUUUCACGAACAACGCGACAAACCGCCUACAAGCUCUUUACGCCCAGUAAUUCCGGACAACGCUCGCACCCUACGUAUUACCGCGGCUGCUGGCAC